CAAGUACCUGGGCGGGGCGCGCUGUGGUUGGCGACGGCUGGGGCAGCACCCGGAAGAACCUGCGACUUAGCCAGCGCAACAGGCGGCUGGAGGGGCAGCCGAGUGGACCCGUCCCGCCAUGGACAAGCUGAAGAAGGUGCUGAGCGGGCAGGACUCUGAGGAUCGGGGCGGCCUGUCUGAGGUUGUUGAGGCAACUUCAUUAAGCUCGGGCACCAGAAUAAAAGGCUUCAUUGCCUGUUUUGCUGCAGGAAUUCUCUGCUCACUUCUGGGAACUCUUUUGCUCUGGGUGCCCAGGAAGGGACUAUAUCUCUUCGCAGUGUUUUAUACCUUUGGUAACAUCGCAUCUCUUGGGAGCACUGUCUUCCUCAUGGGACCAAUGACACAGCUGAAGCGAAUGUUUGAGCCUACGCGUUUGAUUGCAACUGUCUUGGUGCUGUUGUGUUUUACACUUACCCUGUGCUCUGCCUUUUGGUGGCACAACAAAGGGCUUGCUCUCAUCUUCUGCAUUUUGCAGUCUCUGGCCCUGACGUGGUACAGUCUUUCCUACAUACCAUUUGCAAGGGACGCUGUAAAGAAGUGUUUUACCGUGUGUCUUGCAUAACACACAGCCAGUUUUGCAAAGCUCUGGAGAACACCGUGGAUGGAUGUGGGUGGACCAUGUUGUAAAUAUCUUCUAAACCUCUGUCUCACAGACAUGUGCCUUUGAUCUUGCAAGCAACAUGUGGCUUGCAUUUUGAACCUUUGAGGAUUGCUUCUGGAGGCAACUGUGUGUUCCCAAACCCAAAUGUCUGCCGCAUGAUACAAGAAAUGGGUUCUAUAUCUGACAGAGUGGAAUCUUCCUCAUAUACCUUUGAUGGUGUUCCACUGAGUUUUUAUGGGUAAAAACCUUGUUAGCAGCAGCAGAUAAGCCUUGGGAGCCAGUGAUUCCCAGUUGAUGACAAUGGCCCCAUUGGAUACUCAGGUGCAACAGGAAGGGAUAGAGUUUGGGAAUCAAUGGGACUUUGUAGAUUUGUCCCUCAGCGUGUCACGCCUGCCCCAUACAACAUGGAUGUACUUCUACUUUGGUGUCCAGGAACAAGCUGCCAUCCUGACAUUUGAACGUGAGCCUGUGAAGAGCCUGGCUGUGGAAUGAGGUAGAAAAGCACUUUCUGAUGAUGUGUGUUGUUUUUAAACCUGAACAGCUCUCUUCUGAUUCCACACCUGUGAAUGUAUUUUCUUUCCUUUUUUUUUCUUUUAUUGGAGUUUAGUUGCUUUACAGUGUUGGGUGGGAAUGUAUUUUCUAAUGCUCAUUGCAUACUCUUCUUCUUGGGUUUUCAUUUCUUUCUUUCUGCCUCCCCAACGUAUCUUUAUUCUUGACCUCCUGGAACAAGAUUGAAAGAGAACAAAGCUGCGGCAGUAAAUACUAGUGUUUCCUUUUGGACAGGAGCCAGUAGGAGGUGGAAAACCGUGUUGCUCUCUGCUGUGUUCCGCCCCCACCACCAUUAUUUGUAAAUGUUUGCUUUUAAACCGAUUUUAUUUUCCAUUCUCCCCUGGAAUGGGGCCAGGGGAGAGUAGGUGGGAAGACAGAGCCCAAUCAUGGAGCCAGCAGAAAUCAGGCACGCCUACCCAGUGACCUUUAAACAGUCCCAGUGUUUUGCACUGGAGCCUGUGCUGGAAACAGUGGGAGAAGACACCGGGGGCUGCAAAGUGGCCACAUCACAGCCUGAAGCCUGAUCACAGACAGACUGCUUUCGUGUCCCUGAUUUUGUCUAGUACUGCUGGAGCUGAUAAACUGAUGAUGAGCUUGAAAAUAUACACAGCGUUUUCUAUAGAUGGAAUGAACUGAAAGCAGGGAAGAGUAUGUUCACUAGGCAGAAGGAGCACGGCUAUUUGAAGUGAAGGUCAAUCCAUAGCAUUGUAAUAAACGAUCCACAGCAUCAUAGUAACUACUACUACUGAUGUGUAUAUUCAGAACAAUAUCACUACAUUUUUUUAGUGGAGUGUAAUUGCUACAGUGGUCAUUACAUUUAAUAAAUAGCACCAAAAAACAGACAUAGUGUAGGCAAAAAUUCCCUGAUAUAAAUGGCUGCCUAGAUUUAAUAUCAUUGUGGAUCCGUCCGUGGGAGCCAUCCUUUGAGACCAAAUGGAGACUCAAACUGGGCAGAAUGUUGCUUUCUGCCUGUUGAACUUCCAAACUGCAGGAAGAGGUUAGUGCACCUUAAGCACGGAUGAACAUUAUACUUGUUUAGUGUCUUAAAGGAAAAACACAGUUUACAUGCAAUCUUGUGGUCUUAAUGCUAUGAAAAGUGCUUUCUUUGCCUUUUUCAAUAUAUUUGCUUGACUUAGCCACUUUGAACAAGGAAAAACAAUUAAAACCUGAACUAUGAUCUUUUGCUGCUUUGUACAUUCUGAUUGUGCAGUUGAGACGACGGAUUUUUAAAAGCCCCUGGGGAGUUUAUAUGCCUACAGAACAUUGUGCCUGUUCUAAUAUGAUAAGCUUUUAAGACACUUGGUUAAAAAUUCGAUUUUUAUAAUUGUAUAGAUACUCAGCCAAUUCUGAAUGCUGCUGAUGUCAUACCUAAAUUUUUAUGUCAAAAAUAUAUUGUGUGUUGUUUUUCCUACCUUGAGAUCCUAUUUCAUACAAUGAAUAUUGUUUUCUUUUUACUAACUCCUUUCAAAGAGAAAGAAUUUUACUGUUAAGGAAGCUGUUUUUCCCCCAAAUAUCACAAAACUUUUUUUUUUCUCUAAUAAAUGAGAGCAUUAUGAUCUUUAA